GACUGCCGUCCCCUCCACUACCGCCAGGACACGGUUGGGACUCAGCUGCUGGGAAGAGGGAACAACCCCCUCUCACUCCUGGUAUUCCCGCUGUGGCUGGGGAGGGACGACACCCUCUUCUUCUUAUAUCCGAAAAACACUAAAAUCCCACAAACAAAGCCGAGAAUCCACUGUGUGGAAGUUCUGACCGGCGGCACACAUGGUCCUAUGACAAAAAAAGUUCCAGGGCGUUUUGUGCUUUUGGCGAGACAACUUUGGGAGUUCCAUGUGAAAGAAAUACCGAACGCACACUCUGGCUACUUGGUAGUGUUAGUUUGUAACAAACAAACCUACCGAAUGGCGCUCUCCUGACAUGUGUGGGUAAGGAGCAG